AGGCACUAAGGUUUUCAUCAUAUUCUGAUGUUGUAAUCGUAACAUAAAAAACAUAUUCACUGUUCCCAGACGGAUGUGUGAGGAGCACACUCCUGCUCAUAACAACUCCUCUGGGUUACCGUGUUGCCCAGUCUAGAGGGCACCUGGAACCAGUGAACCCACUAGCUUUUCAGCAAACUGUUGUGCUACAGGCAAGCAGAACACAGUGCUUCAGCCCUACUAUGUGGAGACACUACAGUCAGCCUGGCUGUUAGUCUGAGCAUGAAGGGGAAAAAGGAAGGAUGGAAGAAAAAUGAUAAAAGGCAAGAGAGGACAAAAAAAAAAGAGCUUCUUGCUGGGCCUAAUGGCUCUUUUACCAGGGACCUGCCAAGAUGGACCGUGUUCCCACUAAGACCAUGAAGAAGGUGACCCAGGUCAUCACUGAGAAAUACUACACACGCCUGGGCAAUGACUUCCACACUAACAAGCAUGUGUGCAAGGAGAGCAACCCAGGAAGAGAUCAGGACAAAGACACACACACAGAGGACAGACCUUGUGAAGACAGAGGGAGAAGAUAGCCAUCUAUCUACAAGCCAGUUGGAAGGGCCUCACUGGACACAACCCUGCUGGCAACUUGUUCGUGGACUUCUAGUCCCCGUACUAUGAUAAAAUAAAUGUAUAGUGUUUAAGCUAUUAAGUUUGUGAAAUUUGCUGCUGAAUAAAUAAAAGAGACUUUUCUG